UGGGGAAUUUUGGACAAUGGACGCAAGUCUGAUCCAGCCAUGCCGCGUGCGGGAAGAAGGCCUUCGGGUUGUAAACCGCUUUUGUCAGGGAAGAAACGAGUUUCUCUAAUACAGAGACUUAAUGACGGUACCUGAAGAAUAAGCACCGGCUAACUACGUGCCAGCAGCCGCGGUAAUACGUAGGGUGCAAGCGUUAAUCGGAAUUACUGGGCGUAAAGCGUGCGCAGGCGGUCAUGCAAGACAGAUGUGAAAUCCCCGGGCUCAACCUGGGAACUGCAUUUGUGACUGCAUAGCUGGAGUGCGGCAGAGGGGGAUGGAAUUCCGCGUGUAGCAGUGAAAUGCGUAGAUAUGCGGAGGAACACCGAUGGCGAAGGCAAUCCCCUGGGCCUGUACUGACGCUCAUGCACGAAAGCGUGGGGAGCAAACA
rnacentral:rRNA from 1 species